rnacentral:rRNA from 1 species
AUUGAACGCUGGCGGCAUGCCUUACACAUGCAAGUCGAACGGUAACAGGUUAAGCUGACGAGUGGCGAACGGGUGAGUAAUGUAUCGGAACGUGCCCAGUUGUGGGGGAUAACUGCUCGAAAGAGCAGCUAAUACCGCAUACGACCUGAGGGUGAAAGCGGGGGAUCGCAAGACCUCCCGCAAUUGGAGCGGCCGAUAUCAGAUUAGGUAGUUGGUGGGGUAAAGGCUCACCAAGCCGACGAUCUGUAGGUGGUCUGAGAGGACGACCAGCCACACUGGGACUGAGACACGGCCCAGACUCCUACGGGAGGCAGCAGUGGGGAAUUUUGGACAAUGGGCGCAAGCCUGAUCCAGCCAUGCCGCGUGCGGGAAGAAGGCCUUCGGGUUGUAAACCGCUUUUGUCAGGGAAGAAACGCUCUGGGUUAAUACCCUGGGGUAAUGACGGUACCUGAAGAAUAAGCACCGGCUAACUACGUGCCAGCCGCCGCCGUAAGAC